CACAAAAGAGUGGGUUGAGUGGUUGCCGGUUUCCGUAGCCUCAUCUUUAAACUUCGUUCUCCUUCGCUGGCGAUCUCUUCCUCUGACUCUAAUCUAAGUUUUUCAUUGCCAUUGUUGUGGAAACUAUAGUAGAGGCUUGGUCUUCAAGCUGCAACAGUUGAUUAUGGAUGUGGUAGAUGCUUGACUGCAUACCGUAUGUUAUGUUUACCUGAGAAGGUAUAUGCACUUGGAAGUUCCCUCAAAAUCAAUAUAUUCAUUCUUUACUUCCCUCACCUUGAAGAAUCCAUGGUUGAUGGAACAAGAGGUUUGUUGGAGGAAGAACUCACCUUGGGAGCUCUUAACGCCUCGGGCUCACAUAUGAUAAUUUCUGCCGAGGAAAGAGUCCACAAUAGUCCUUUAUGAUCUGUUCAAACUGUCUCGUUAUCUUAUUGUGAUUAGGUUCUUUCUGGCUAGAAGAAUACAAGGUCUUUUCCAAACUUGGAAUGGGCAUGAUGCGUUGUUCCAUGAUAUUUGGUACAUAAAAAUAUUUUAAAAUUUUUAUGGUUAGCAUUUAUAGUGCAUCUUAUUUAUAUUUUUUUUUUUCCAAUUAAAAUGUACAAUAAUUUGAGAACAAGGUUUCCAAAUUUUAGCUCUCCUAUGAUAUGUAAGUUUUACCCAAUUAGAAUUUUUUUUAUAAUAUCUAAAUUCGUUGUUCGGAUUCCAGCUUGUGAGCUAUAGGUAUUGAUUCAUUUAAAACUUGCGCCAUCUAAUAUUUCUACAUUUUAAGGUUUUGAAAAUAUAGGUUGCUCUGCAUCUUUCAUUUGUUUAAGUUCAUUGAUUUAUCUAUAAGUGAUUAAUAAGCUAUUAACCAAGGUAAUGGUUGUCCUCUCUACUUUUGCAUGGGAUGUAAUGCUCCUAGUCAAGUGACUUACCACCAGUUUUUCAGUUGCAACCUUCGUUAUUCAUCUUGCUUGAGUCAUUUUUUCAUGAUCUUUAAUCACACGGUUGGUGAAGAAACCGAUAUUGGCAGCAUUGAGAGCUGAUUCGUGAACAGGGGUCAAACCUUUUCUUGCAAACAGACUUUCCUCAUUUCUUCUAUAUUAUUAGUAUAUUUCAUGCUACUCAUCAAUUUUAUUUGAUUUCAUUAACCAUGUUAUAUAUACAGUUUGUUGAUUUUAUUUUACUUAUCAUUAAUAAUAUACAUUACACGUCUCUAUAUCACCUUUUGUCUCACUUGAAUUGAGCAUGGCUAAUCUAGUUUGGUUUUAAUUGAACCAGUAUUUAUAUCAUCAUUUAUUCAAUUUGUUGUUGUUAAUGAGUUUUUACCAACAACCUACUUCGGCCUGGUUUUUGUUAAUCAUGUAUUAAUAUGUAUUUGAUAUGCUAGUGAAUUCGAUUUUGGCUUUAUUAACUCUUUUUACCACUUAAAUCAAAAUGCAUGAUAAUGUUGUUGGUAUAUUAAAAUUCAUUAAAUCUAAUGGAAACAUAAAGUUAUUAGCAAUGGUAAUUGAAUUAAACAUGCACUUAAUUUUUUUUUUUUUUAUAUUAUAUGCGAUGCUCACGAGAUACAUAUGCGCUUGUUUAGUAACAUACACUCUUCUGUGAAAACCUUCUACACAUCCUACUAACUUUGUUGUUUCUCUACCAACUUCACAUCAUAACCUUUGAUCCGUGUUCUUUAUUUAAUUUUGGUUAUGGGGAAUGUGUGAUUAAUGUUUUGUGGAGAUAUUGCCCAUCAAGUAGGUUGCAGAAAAUGUUUUAUUCAAUUUUGUAAAUAUUUUCGGCAAUCCACUGUAGCUCUUCAUAACUUGGUACUUUGAACUCUCUCUUGUGAUUUUAUUGAAUGCUCACAGUUGAUCUUACUUGUAAUACAAGCUAUUUGCCACAUCUCUAUCCAUAAUCUCUUUUAUGUCUUUGUUUCUUAAUAAAUUAGUCUAAUUAAAAAAAAUUGAAUUCAAGUCUAAACCAUCAUCAUGGCAGCAUGUUAUCCUGUCCAUGUGCUUUAUUGGAAUCUUUAGUUCCUCCCAGUUUUAGUGACAGGCCAUGCAUUGAGGAAGUGGUCAAUAAUGAUGAGGUAAGGUUUGUUUACCUAUAGUUAAGUAUUGCAUUCCAAGUAUUCAGCCUUCAGCGCUUGAAUUUAUGGUCUUUGCUAUGAUGGUUUUAUCUAUUAGCAUUGCAUCUAUAUGUAAUAAAACUCAUUUCUAAUUGUAAUCUGCAAAUUUACAAGUCCGAUUUGUUAUGCUCAAGUACUAGGCAUUGUUUCCCAUUGCCUGUGUGUGCGCGCAUCUGUGCGUGCUCUUACGCGCAUGUAUGUGUUCAAUGCUCCUGCCUGCCUGCUCGGAGAAACUCUUUAUGAUUACUAGAAUUACUCAAGUUGCAUGUAAAUCAUAGCCUUAAACUAUGUGGAUGAAGCCUAUUUGUUAGAAGCAUUGAAUGUAAUUUUUGAAACCAUAAGAGUUUUCUCUAGGACUGAAUUCAUUAGGUCUUUGUGCCUGGUUGAUAAUGUUAUAUUAUUGAAUUAACUUUGGCCUAAAUCUUCCUUCACUAAAUCUUUUCAAUAUUGAACGAGUUAUUUAAGAAAGACAAAUUUGAAGGGCAUUAUUAUUAUUACUUUCUUUUGCUUUACCAUGUUAAUGUUUCAUUAUGUUAGAGGGAAAUCUUGUAUUAUUUUACCUAAUAUGAGUGAAACAUGUUCUUUGCUUUUUUCUAUAUAACCUUUUUUUUUUACAGGUUAUCUGAUGGUGAACUUUUAAUAGAAUUCUUUUAGUUGCCUAUUUCAGUUAGAUCAUGAUAUUUGGCUAGCAAUUUGAGAUUAUUUGUUGCUUUCUUCGCAUCUAAUGCUAUUAUAUUAGAAUUAAUCAAUUGAAACUGUUUGUCACUCCUUGAAUGCACAGUUUUUUGUUUUCUUUACAUUAAUGAUUUUGAUAUGUAAUGGUAUCACAAAUGAUGUUUAUUUCCUCUUGAAAAUUGUUUGCAUUUUUUUUAUGAAUAUUAAUAGUUGUCAAAUUGUGGUUUCUUAGGUAUAGUUCUUAAGUAGUGUUUCAAGUCUCUGUUGCAUGCCCAACUUACAUUUUCAUAAUGGGUCUAUGCACUUGGAUGUUCUCAAAACUGAUAGAUCUGUUCUUGUUGUUCUUAGUUAUAGGGUCAUCGGGUGGAGCACUCACCUUGGGGCUCUAGAAGAGGAAGCUCCUUUAACAGCUCAGGUAUUUAUCUGGGUCUAUUAGAUAAACAUUGAAGAAUGGAGGAGAUAAUUUCAAGCAGGAGUUUCCAGAGGUGUUGUGUAUGUAAGGGCAUAUUCUUUUCCCACCAUGUUUGUUUUAUAUUGUAUCUUAUUUAAAAAGUGGCUGAGAAAGGUUGUUGGAAGCA